AACGCACAUGGCGCCUUCCAGUAUCCUGGGAGGCAUGCCUGUCCGAGCGUCGUUUCAACCCUCGAGCCCCCGUGGCCCGGCGUUGGGGAUCUGCCACGGCAGGCCCCGAAAUCCAGUGGCGGACCCGCUGGGCCCUCUCCUUGCGUAGUAGCAUCAGCCUCGCAUCGGGAGCCCGCGUGGCAUCCUGCCCCUAAACCCCCCGCAAGCCCGCCCCGGCGGCACCAAGGUUGACCUCGGAUCAGGUAGGAAUACCCGCUGAACUUAA
rnacentral:misc_RNA from 1 species